AUUGAACGCUGGCGGCAGGCCUAACACAUGCAAGUCGAACGAGUGGCGGACGGGUGAGUAAUGUCUGGGAAACUGCCUGAUGGAGGGGGAUAACUACUGGAAACGGUAGCUAAUACCGCAUACUAUCGGAUGUGCCCAGAUGGGAUAGGCUAGUGGGUGGGGUAAAGGCUCACCUAGGCGACGCUCCCUAGCUGGUCUGAGAGGAUGACCAGCCACACUGGAACUGAGCCACGGUCCAGCUCCCUACGGGAGGCAGAAGUGGGGAAUAUUGCACAAGGGGGGCAAGCCGGAUGCAGACAUGCCGCGUGUAUGAAGAAGGCCUUCGGGUUUUAAAGUACUUUCAGCGGGGAGGCGUUACCCGCAGAAGAAGCACCGGCUAACUCCGUGCCAGCAGCCGCGGUAAUUC
rnacentral:rRNA from 1 species